GCUCCCACUACCCCACUAUUGAUCUUCAACCAGAGUCCCCACAGUUGUGUGGAUUUUACAUAUUGGACAUUUGUAUAAGAUUUUAAUGGUUACAAAGAUUUGACAGCUAAGAAUUUUUUGAAAAGCCACAAAAACAGAUCAUCCCCAAGGUCCCUCAUAGUCCCAUGAGACGAAGAGGAAGGAAGAGCUUUUGGGAUAUGAUACUACUCAGAGGUUUAAGCCAUGGGCAGGAGAUGCUGACCUUCAAAUUCUAAAUUCAGCUUGUUGGCAUAUUAUGUAAUAGUCCACCUGUUUUGCUUUUCCCAUCUGGACAGCAGAAGUAGUACAUAACUGGGUUCUCUAAAACGUAUGGUAGUUAUGGCAAUAUACACUAUUUGAAAAAGAAAUGGUGGCCUAGCUAGCUUAUUUCAGUUUUCGCCUUACUAAAAACUCACAGACGUAGAUUCCACCAAGGAAGCUGAAAGGGAAAAAUGGAGACAAGCUAACUAUAUAUGAGAAGAAUGAGUAAUAAACCGUGGCUUAGUCAUUCAAUGGAAUACUACAUCUAGUUCAACUGAAUGAAAAUAAUCUCCAUGGAUCAACAUGGAUUUUCAUAUGGUCAAAAUACCCACGGAAUAUAUGAGUGGCAGCAGUAAACAGUCCUUGAAGUUCUUGGUUGUUUAACUUGACUGUUGGUGAUGCCCAGUGAGGCCCUGUCUGCUCCAAGCAAAUUACAUAAAAAAGAUGUGAAUAAAAACUCAUCAAAUACUAACAGAGGCUUCCCUCUCCACUGGAAGUUGGAUGGUUGGUCUCUUGCUGCCUGGAAUCUUUGUGCAGAGUUUCUGAUCCUCAAUGUCACCCCAUUUCCCGAUGAGGAAUGGCUGGGCUCCCUCAACAGGGAAUUACACAUUCAAAAACUGUCAUCUCUCUGCGGUCUCUCUUGGAUGUUGAAGAUGAUUCAACCAGGAUGGCAAUAAUGUUAGGGGUCUCAGGUAAUGGGUUUUUCUUGUGUGACCCUCCAGUUUGUUGUUCAUACCAGUGCCUCCUGGAAGAGAUUUCUUGGUGAUACAGAGCUUGGGAGGUGGCAGAGAGGGCUGCUUUUAGAUUUUGGUUUUAUGGGCACUAUCUCAUAAGCCUUCUUGUGGUUUUUCCCAUUAGCCAGGGCUUCCUGUGGCUACUAUCAACAGUGAGGUUCACCAAAACAGUGGUCUUUUAAGGAUCUUGAUAUUUUUAAUGUCUCAGUUGGCUCCUGCUUCUUUUUUAAGGCUGACCACUCAGUGGGACUCCCAGCACCCUCCACCCGCAGAAGGUAAGUCAUGGGUCUCUGCUGAACCCUUGCACUUGUAUGCCUUUAUAUAAAUAUAUAAGGGAAACAGGUCUAUAUUACGCCAGGGUGUCAUACUCCUGCUUUUCUUCUGCUCUGUUCAGAAAAGGAAAGUUAUUAACCCAAAGGAAUGAGCCACUUAUUGGAAAUUUUAGAUUCUGUGGCAAUUGAGAAGAGGAGAUAUAUUUCCCUGCCAUUCAUUGGGCCCUGUUCCUACCUUAAAUCUUCUUUAAACACUCAUCUUAUUAAUUCCCCAAAUACUACAAGCUAGCAACUUAAAUGCUGCAUAAAACCUUAAAAACAUCUUGUAUCAGACUCAGAAUUUAAAUGUAUUUUGUCUGUAAAUCCUGCCUGCUUUCCUUGAGUUAAAUGGUUACCCUUCCUAAGAGUAAAUUCUAUCCUGACUUCCAAGAACAUAGAUUAAUUUUGCAUGGUUUUGUACUUUAUAUAAAUGGAAUUGUACAAAAUGUACUCUUUUGUGUCUGGCUUCUUCUACACAUCAUCACGUUUAUGAGAUUCAGCUACAUUUUUCUUGCUUUUAUAAAUUAUUUAUUCUCUUUGCUUAUGAGUAUAUCACAAUUUAUUC
ensembl:lncRNA